rnacentral:pre_miRNA from 14 species
UUCUAUAAGAAGAGCAACAGGGAAGUUGAUACCAAAGUGAAAGACCCCCAAAACGGGGAGACCCUCACUCAAGUCUCAGGAUGAUGCGACCCCCCAAGAACUCACACAAGACC